rnacentral:rRNA from 1 species
AUGCUUUCACAACUUGACUUCAAAAUAUUUGGUUUGGAGACCAUCAAAGAUCAAUAUGUGCAUGAUGCUGAUUUUAAAGAUGUAUUGCAGAAUUGUAAAGAAGGAAGAACCUGGAACAAGUUUGUCGUUAAUGAUGGAUUUGUGUUCCGUGCUAACAAGCUAUGCAUUCCAGCUAGCUCUCUUCGUAUUUUGUUGUUGCAGGAGGCGCAUGGAGGAGGAUUAAUGGGACACUUUGGCGUGAAGAAGACGGAGGACGUACUUGCUACACAUUUCUUUUGGCCAAAGAUGAGACGGGAUGUUGAGCGGGCUGUUUUGAAGAAUAAUAAGAAAAUGUGGGAAGACUGCUUGCCUCAUAUUGAGUUUGCUUAUAAUCGUUCAUUGCAUUCUACUACUAAGAUGUGCCCUUUUGAAAUUGUGUAUGGUUUCCUACCUCGUGCACCUAUUGAUUUGUUGCCUCUUCCAUCUUCGGAGAAGGUUAAUUUUGAUGCUAAACAACGUGCUGAAUUGAUCUUAAAAAUGCAUGAGUUAACUAAGGAAAACAUUGAGCGUAUGAAUGCUAAAUAUAAACUUGCUGGAGAUAAGGGUAGAAAACAUGUUGUGUUUGCACCUGGAGAUCUUGUUUGGUUACAUUUGCGUAAGGACAGAUUUCCUGAUUUGCGCAAAUCAAAGCUAAUGCCACGUGCUGAUGGUCCUUUUAAGGUGUUAGAGAAAAUAAAUGAUAAUGCAUAUAAACUUGAGCUGCCUGCAGAUUUUGGGGUUAGUCCCACUUUUAAUAUUGCAGAUUUGAAGCCUUAUUUGGGUGAGGAAGAUGAGCUUCCGUCGAGGACGACUUCAUUUCAAGAAGGGGAGGAUGAUGAGGACAUCAAUACAAUUAUUACACCCACAGGCCCUGCUGCUAUACAUACUGGACCAAUUACUAGAGCUCGCGCACGCCAAUUAAAUUACCAGGAAACAGACCCUCGUGGUCAGGUUGAUCGUGCUCCGGCGUGGUCGAUAACCUCUCGGAGUUGGUUUAGCGAUUGCUAA